CAGUAGCCACGGGAAUACGGAGGGCGCGAGCGUUACCCGGAAUUACUGGGCGUAAAGCGUGCGUAGGCGGUGAGUUAAGUCUGCUGUGAAAUCCCCGGGCUCAACCUGGGAAUGGCUGUGGAUACUGGCUCGCUAGAGUGUGUCAGAGGAUGGUGGAAUUCCCGGUGUAGCGGUGAAAUGCGUAGAGAUCGGGAGGAACAUCAGUGGCGAAGGCGGCCAUCUGGGACAACACUGACGCUGAGGCACGAAAGCGUGGGGAGCAAACAGGAUUAGAUACCCCCGUAGUCCCUGUCUCUUAUAC
rnacentral:rRNA from 1 species